rnacentral:lncRNA from 1 species
UCUAGUAGUUGGAACCCAGAGGAGCGAAGGAAGUAAGAUUUGCUGAUUUCAACGGCCAGCCAAUGCAUCAUAAAACUCCGUUCUCACAGCCACCAGGAAGACCCUGAGAAUGAUUGCCCAAGUUGUGCCAUUUACUUAUUAACCAAGAAGUAAAUUUGCGUUAUGGGCACGUUAUUUACUCUGUUGGAAAAUACCUUCUCGGCGCUCCUGUUUUCUCCUUUCUGAUGGUAAGAUUUAAAUGAGGUAAUAUGCGUGAAGCUGUUAACACAGCAAUUGGAAAACAGUAAAUGCUCAACACGUGCUGGAUGUUAUUACCCUUCAGGAUGGAGAGGCUGGCCCAGAGCGGUUAAGUAACUUGGCUAACCCACGAGGCUGAACGAUGUCAUAGCCCGGAUUCCCACCUGGCUCCUAACGCUCACACUCCGGAUUCUGCGCUAGGUUCUGGUGCUGCGGAAACACCGUGAGCUGUCCUGGUGCGAGGGAUCCCCGCAGCCGGAUGGUCUCGACGUGAAUUGUCAGCUGUAACUUUUUUGGAGAUACACCUUAUCCGCUCAGCUCGUGAAAAGUUCACGGGCCCUUGGGAUCCUUAUCUCUGCCUGAGGAAUACCUUCGUUCAUUAAUGAGCAAACCACUGAGUAAAUAAAUAAACACAAGCAAAGGGGAGGCCGAGAUGUUAGGCAAACAUUUGCAGAGCACGAUGCCAGGCCUUUCCGGGGCUGGGAGCUGCCGAGAUCUACCCCCGCUCAGAUGCCCAGGGCUUGCCUGGAAGACAGAAAGUCUCCUUCAGAAAACCCCUGGGGGCUACCUAGACUCUGUACCCCAGAGACGCCUUCUAUCUCUGGGCAUCAGUUUCUCAUCUAUGAGGAAGCGAGGCCCGGACUUUGGAGAAUCCGAAGCUGAGCAGCCUGGGUCCUCCAGGCUGAGCAGUCUCCUCUCAAAACUGAUGAAAGCAGAAUGGGUUUCACUUUGCCACAUGCCUUUCAAUCUUCCAAGGAAGGAUGGAAUAAAGGAGGAUGACUUGGAAUCGCAAACCUGAGGCUCCGUUGUGUGUGUUUGCCCGCGGGGUCCUGCACUCGAUAGCACUUCCGCCCCGGGGGCUGUGCGCUCCAAAUCGUAGCAGCACGUCGAGAGCUUUCGACGUCCCAGUGAUCCAAGGACCUGCUGUGGCCAGGAGGGAAGUGGACGCCAUAAGGCUGUGCUGCUUGGGUGGUUUCAGGGCGACCGUAGGCUGCUUGGCCUGAACUGUCCCCUUUCAUCUCUGGCUCCAUGGUGUCAGAUGCUGAAGGCUCUGGGAGAGAGCUUUCGAGCCUCAUUACCCACCCGGAGGACCAUGCAAUUCCUCAGUAAGCCACCUGUUCUUGUCAAAAGAAGACCCGGCCUUGCGUGUACUGACUGGAGGCGAUACAUCUAUUGCGGGUCGGACAGACAGAGAGCUUGUUAACGUGAGUGAAGAUCGCACAGACAUUUGCUUUUCGCUGUUCUGUACCCCACGGCACUUGGGACACCCUUUUAUUACAGCAUUUAUCACUCUGUGGUGUAAUUAUCCGUUUACUCAAAUGCUUCUGCCUCUAGAGUUUGAGCUCUGCGUGGGGAUGGCCGGCAUGUCACGAAUCCCUGUAUCUCCAGUGCCCCUCCGCACAGGGUGCUGGCACACAGUACCUGCUCAGUGGACAUUUGCUGAAUCAAAGGAAUGCUGUCAUCUGGACCGUGAGGAAGAGGAACCCUUAUACGACUUUGUACGAGUAUGUUAUUUGUUCACGAAGUUCUCAAAAGCAGGUAGUGAUGGAACAGCUUUCGUGCUGUGAUCGCUGCCGACUCUGCCCAGAGCUCUGUCUUGGGCGCGGCCUGCACUCCUCGGCCAAAAGGCUGCUGCUACCAAGGGGCCGUGAGAGUGUCUAGCGGUGGGAAAAGGAGACUGGGGUUAACUGAUACUUGCCCAGCCCUUAAAACCAGCGAUGUUUUUUUUUUUUUUUUUUAAAUCUGGUGUGGUGUCACGGAUUCAAUUAUGCUGCUUAGAAAGAUAUAUAGGGGCACCUGGGUGGCUCCGUGGGUUAAGCGCCCGACUUCGGCUCAGGUCACGAUCUCGCGGUUCGCGGGUUCGAGCCCCGCGUCGGGCUCUGUGCUGACCGCUCGGGCCCCGGAGCCUGUUUCAGAUUCUGUGUCUCCCUCUCUCUCUGCACCUCCCCCACUUGUGCUCUGCCUCCGUCUCAAAAAUAAAGAAACAUUUAAAAAAUUUAAAAAAAAAGAA